rnacentral:rRNA from 1 species
GAUUGAACGCUGGCGGCAUGCCUUACACAUGCAAGUCGAACGGCAGCGGGGGUAGCUUGCUACUGCCGGCGAGUGGCGAACGGGUGAGUAAUACAUCGGAACGUGCCCUGUAGUGGGGGAUAACUAGUCGAAAGACUGGCUAAUACCGCAUACGACCUGAGGGUGAAAGUGGGGGACCGCAAGGCCUCAUGCUAUAGGAGCGGCCGAUGUCUGAUUAGCUAGUUGGUGGGGUAAAGGCCUACCAAGGCGACGAUCAGUAGCUGGUCUGAGAGGACGAUCAGCCACACUGGGACUGAGACACGGCCCAGACUCCUACGGGAGGCAGCAGUGGGGAAUUUUGGACAAUGGGGGCAACCCUGAUCCAGCAAUGCCGCGUGUGUGAAGAAGGCCUUCGGGUUGUAAAGCACUUUUGUCCGGAAAGAAAUCGCUUCGGUUAAUACCUGGAGUGGAUGACGGUACCGGAAGAAUAAGGACCGGCUAACUACGUGCCAGCAGCCGCGGUAAUACGUAGGGUCCAAGCGUUAAUCGGAAUUACUGGGCGUAAAGCGUGCGCAGGCGGUUGUGCAAGACCGAUGUGAAAUCCCCGGGCUUAACCUGGGAAUUGCAUUGGUGACUGCACGGCUAGAGUGUGUCAGAGGGAGGUAGAAUUCCACGUGUAGCAGUGAAAUGCGUAGAGAUGUGGAGGAAUACCGAUGGCGAAGGCAGCCUCCUGGGAUAACACUGACGCUCAUGCACGAAAGCGUGGGGAGCAAACAGGAUUAGAUACCCUGGUAGUCCACGCCCUAAACGAUGUCAACUAGUUGUUGGGGAUUCAUUUCCUUAGUAACGUAGCUAACGCGUGAAGUUGACCGCCUGGGGAGUACGGUCGCAAGAUUAAAACUCAAAGGAAUUGACGGGGACCCGCACAAGCGGUGGAUGAUGUGGAUUAAUUCGAUGCAACGCGAAAAACCUUACCUACCCUUGACAUCUAGAGAGACUGCCGGUGACAAACCGGAGGAAGGUGGGGAUGACGUCAAGUCCUCAUGGCCCUUAUGGGUAGGGCUUCACACGUCAUACAAUGGUGCAUACAGAGGGUUGCCAAGCCGCGAGGUGGAGCUAAUCCCAGAAAAUGCAUCGUAGUCCGGAUCGUAGUCUGCAACUCGACUACGUGAAGCUGGAAUCGCUAGUAAUCGCGGAUCAGCAUGCCGCGGUGAAUACGUUCCCGGGUCUUGUACACACCGCCCGUCACACCAUGGGAGUGGGUUUUGCCAGAAGUAGUUAGCCUAACCGUAAGGGGGGCGAUUACCACGGCAGGGUUCAUGACUGGGGUGAAGUCGUAACAAGGUAGCCGUAUCGGAAGGUGCGG